CAGAAUCAUGCGCUAUUGGAGAUAAAAAGAAAGAUAAAGAUGCCCUCAAGCAGUGCAGAGGAGACCUUGAUCUGGAGGAAGGCAACUUGAGUGAUGAUGAGAGAGAAGGAGGAGAGGAGAAGGACAAGAAGAAGAAGUUGAAAAAGAAGAAGGAUUCUGGCUCAUGUACAGAUGAUGAUAGUGAUGAUGACAAAAAAGACAAGAAGAAGAAAAAGAAGAAGAAGAAGGAAAAGGACUCCUCCAGCUCCUCCUCUUCAUCAUCCUCUGAUAGCUGCUCAUCAGACAGUGAAGAUGAGAAAAAGAAAAAGAAGAAGAAAAAGAAGAAGAUGAAGAAGAAGAAGGAUAAGGUUU